rnacentral:lncRNA from 1 species
CCAUCAUACUUCUGCUCCUCUCUAGCAGUUAACUCCUCCCUUUGGAUGAAAAUUCCUUUUCCCAAGCAUCUCUGCUGUCUUUUUCUGAGUAUCUUUAGCUGUGCUGUCGUGGCUGCCUAUGUCCUGAACGGAUUCCAAAUGUUUCCCUUUUAUGGUCGUUUUGGCUUUGAGGAAGAGCCAGAAGUCACACAGUGCCAGAUCUGGUGAAUAAAGUGGAUGAAGACACACUUUAUUUAAUUAAUUUAUUUAUUUUCACAG